AUGGACGCCAUAGCGCAGCCCUGCCUUCGUUCCCGCGACCAUGCGCUGGCCAGCAGCAGGGAACUCCGCGCUCCCCUGCUCGAAGAAGUUGCCGCCUCCCCGACCGGACCUGGUGCCUCGCCGUCCCAGCGCUGGACCCGGAGCUCGCAAUUCCUGCCGGACCUCUGCCUCGCCCCAUUCAUCACGCUGCCUGUUGGCCCUUCGUUUUUCCUCGCUGUGAGCACGUUCGGCCAUGGACGUUUUGAGCCGUUUGCCUCCUGCACACGUCGUGGCUUCCUCCAAAUCAAUCGAAGGACACCGUGCAACAAAUAA
rnacentral:rRNA from 1 species